rnacentral:tRNA from 1 species
GGCACUUUGGCGGAGUGGUUAACGCGAUGCCCUGCUAUAUCCUAGUAUUAGGAAUCAGCUUAGGCAUUCCCUUCGGGGGCGUGUGUUCGAAUCACACAGGUGUCG